ACAGUGAACCAAUCACAACCGCUGGAUUCAGCCACAUCCAUUACUGUUUGCAGCUUUGGAGGGGCACCCAGACACAACAACACCGCUAUGUUAGACUUAUGUUUUGGUAGAAACAUUAUACAUUUUUAACUUUAGUUGGAGGAGGAGAUCUGAGUGUCCAAAGCAGGGAGGAAGAAGAUAACAGCCUGUGAACUUGUCUCCCUUCAGAGUUACCCCUCUCGCCCUCCCUUUGUAAUGUGGUUUAGUCCAGAGACCUUAGGAGCCCUGGUGGUAGGAAAAAUGAACCAAGGCAUCACUGUUUCUGCCAUCCUGGGCAAUAACCCAUAGGGAUCCUCUUGCUUUUUGCAUCACUUACUUUCUAGGCAUGAAUGUGUUCCCAAUCUGUCAUUCCGUGCUUUCUUCAUUCAUUCAACAAGUCAUUUAUUGAACACUUGAGUGCUAGCCGCCGUGCUGGGCACUGCAUAUAACACUGAAUCAAAGCUCCUGCUCUCAUGUAGUUUACCUCUGGUGGAGAAGACAGGUGAUAAACAAGUAAACACAUAAAUAGUGCAAUCCAAUUUAGUGACUCUGUGCUACGAAGAAAAUAACCUGGGAUGGCCACACAGAAGGAUGGGGGUGGAAGUGGAGCAGCAUUAGCUAGGGUCAGGGACAGCCAGAGCAAGGGGCUCUGGGUGGGGCCCUGAAGAUACUGGACCUCUGCAAGGUGCUCCUUGUUCAGUGCACAAGAACUAAUCCUAGCAUUAAAGUUUAUGCACUAGCCAGACGUGGUGGUACAAUACACACCUCUAAUCCCAGCACUUGGGAUACCGAGGCAGGAGGAUCCUUGUGAGUUUGACACCAGCCUGGGCUACAAAGUGAGCUCAAAGGCAGCCAGGAUUGCAUAGCAACAUCCUGUCUCAAAAGAAAGAAACACACAGAAAAACAAACAAAUAAAAAGCAAAAAAAAAAAAAAAAAAAAAAAAAAAAAGUCGGGGAGAUCCUGGGUUGUGCAGAGUUGGGGCUCCUAGAGGCCUGUAGUUUUGCUUUGUUGUCUGUUAUUUCUAGAUAGAUAUAAUAAACUCAUGUGAAGAAACUCAUGGACUGCUUAAAGGACAAUUGUCCCCAAUGACAGGCUGAUGAUUUAGCACCUGCCCGGCAAAAAUAAGGUUAGGAAUGUGCUUCCCUGUACAAAAAAAAAAUCCAACAAACGUUCCUGGUUUCCAGUUUUAUUUUCCUUCUCAUUCUUGUUUUCACUGGAUUCUCACAAAGAGCCAGCUGAAAUAGCAUGGACAGAACCUUAGUUUUAGGAAAUUUCAUAUGGUUUCUGAUUUUAUUACUAUUUGAUAUGUGAGGGUGAGUGAACUCCUUAAUCUUGGAGGAUAGUUUUUUCACAGUGUAAGGACAUUAAGCUCAGUGACGUUCCCACCCAGUGCUAGACUUAAAUUUCUACGUAGUUGACUUUUUAUGAUGCUGUUGUUAGGGAAUAUGACCAACACUUGUGAAGCUACUGAUUUUAUUUUUCAAACAUUCUCCGCUUGCCUUUUUACCCCUUACACCUUUCAAGUACUGUAAAGAAACUAAGGAGGAAUCACCAGAAGCCGGAGCUUCAGUACACUUCACAUAGAAUGACUCUCAGGUGUUCCUUCUGAUUUCCAGAAGCAGCAGCAGCAGGGCGGGGCUUCACUGCUCUGGGCCGCGAGCCUGCACUGCGCCUGCGCGAAUUUCCUCCCACGGAAGUUUCUUUGGGCACUUCAGGGCAGGCAGUGUUAGUAUGCCGGGGAGCUGGCCCAAGGAGCAGCGCUGGCCACAUGAUCUGGGGGCCUGCUGGAAAGAACAGUCUUGAGACCGCUUCCCUAUGAUGGAGUCACCAAGGAAACACUCAAGGCUACUAUGAGAACAUCUGGGAGCAAUAGAAGUUAAUGACAAGGACAUGGACCUCAGAAUAAAGUGAUUCCAGUCUGUAAGUUACAUCAGCCCACACAGUACCCAGUUCCCUAGUCAGAGCACACAGCUCCCUGACUGCGCUGGGGUCUCAUCAGUGGAGUCUCGUGAACGAGGGACGUGUCCAGCGAAAGCAGCAAGGCAUGGUGAUGUGUAAAACAUCGACGAAGGUAGCAAGGCGUUAAGUGAUGUGAAAAUUAUACCUGCCUCUUCAUAGACAAUUUAUUCUUCAUCCAACUGAACCAUCGUUAUCUUUGAAGUCACAAUUUUUCUCUAAAUGUGUUUGUUUUACAUAAAAAUCAGACCUUGUGUCAAAUUCCUUCCAGACAGAAAGACAGGAGGAGAAGUUAUCACUGUCUUCAGUUUGCGGGUUGGAAUAGCUCAGCCGGCAGUGGCUUGCGCUCUAGCACACGGCCAGCCUCUGCCGCAACCAGGGGAGAAUCCGUUUCCAAACAGAUGAAACAGAAGAACCUUAGCAUACCUUGUCCCAUGAUCUCAUCGUUGUGGUGGGAGUGUGGUGUAGGCAGUGUUCUCUUAAGUUAUAAGCACUAGGAAGGAUGCUUUAGCCUUCCCGGCCAGCAAACAGGCCAUCAAGUUUUGUCCUGGUUAAGGUAGGAGGAGUGUGCUGCUGAGCAGCUGCGGGUCAGUAUCACACACGUAUUUGCUUCAUUUGUGUAGUUAAGACUUUGCAGGCGUGUCUACCUGCAGACAGCUACCUGGAAGCUGCCCAGCUCAGGGCUCCAGGGAGGGCUCUGGAGUUGGACUGCCUGCACUGAAGUCCCAUUUUCCUGCUUACUUCCUAUAACCUUGGGCAAACUACAUCAUCUCCCUGUGUCACUGUUUCCCUCUCUGGAAAGCAGGCCUAUACUCAGGCCUCAACUUCUUGGUGGAAGGUUAUUAGGUGAACACUUCCAAGCUCAGACCAGUGGGUGACAUGCCUCAAGCUGUGGCAGGUUGUCUGUUCCACAGGGUCCCAGGCCGUACCCUGGCCCCAAGCUAUUCCCUUGUCAUAGGAUGAUUCAAGUGUUGUAAAUGGAAAGUCCUCGAGCUGCUGCCUCCAGGAGGAAGACAAAAGCCUACUUAUUGACCCUGGCUUCAGCCCUGGUUCUGCUGCCUGCUUCCCUUUUUCUGAAAACAAUGACAACCAGCCAGGUGUGGUGGUAUGCACCGUGAAUGCCAACAUUUCAGAUGCUGAAGCAGGAUGAACACCGUGAGUUCAAGUCCAGCCUGGGCAGUGUAGUGAGUUCAAGACCAUCUAAAAAGCCAGUAAUAAUAAUAGUAAUAAGGACAACAAAAGCAGAAUUUAUCAUAAUUGCUUUUCAGUGUCAAACAACUUUCUACAUGCUGCUCAACUCCAGCCAGGAAUUUAGAUCUGCAGUGUAAUUGCCUGCCUGCCAAGUGUGAGGCCCUGAGUUCAAUCCCCAGUACCAAACAAAGCUUCUAUACCUCAUAAGAUUGCCUGCUCAAGUAACUGUACUGAUUUCACUUUAAGUAAGAGUACACACUAUUUUUGUGAAUUAAACAGGAAAAAUAAGAUAAAUGCUUGAAGAGCAAAUAUCGUACUUAUGGUACCUAUGACCAUAAACAAAUCUUUUCAUUGUUUUGUUUUUGCAACAGGGUCUCAAUCUGUCAUUCAGGCUGGUAACUCACUAUGUAGCUCUACCUGGCCUCAACGUCUUGUCAGUCCUCCUGCCUCAGCCUCCCAAGUGCUAGGAUUCAGGCAUGUACCACCAGGCACGGCCAUCAAAUCAUUCUCUGAGAGGAGGAAUUCAUGAUACUGGACGAAGGAAGCAGUUGAGGAAAAACCAAUCUUACCUUAAAUUACAGAAUGUAGUCUGACUAGUUUCCAAUAUAGACAGGGGAAAAUAGGCAUCAAAAUCAAAUUCAGAAUCUGGCAAUCAAGAAUAAAUGUGGUAAGAACAAAAGCGAUAAGUGGAGAUUAGACCAAAAGCAGUUAUUGGCAACUAAAUGCAGUUAACGUUGUUUUCCUGAGUCCUAUUCUAAGAAGUUGGUGUGGAAGCGCCCCUUAAAUAUAACUUCCGAGGCUAGGAGAGACAGUUCUAGACAAGCUCCCUUAAAAUGGGAGUGUGAAUCACUAAUAGAUUUCAGUCUUCUUUCUUCACUUCCCUAUUCCUAGACCAGUGGGGAACUAGUCCCAGUGAAGAGUAUUAAAGGAAUGGGUUCCUUUUUACACCAGUAGGCUGUUCAUGCAGUAACUUGAUGGCACUUCAUGGAGGUAAAUUGACGUGUCUGGUGAUAUACUCCAAGAUAUUCCAAGAGUAAAUAAAGGAAGGUUGUAAAAUCAAUAAAACAAUAUUUGACGAUACUGUUUUAAUUUAAUACUCACACUGUAUGAUGUUUCCAUUUUUUGUGUGUGGAACUGAGGAUUUAAUCCUGAUCCUUUGCACUGAGCUACAUCUCCAGCCACCUAUUAGUUCUUUGAGUUUUGAGACAUGGUCUUCUAAUUGCUAAGUUACCCAGCUUGAGCUCUGUUAUGUCUUUUGCUACAUGUUCCUCCAAAUCCUCACGUGAUCCUAGGUGGGGAGAUUUGAAGGUGGCUGUAUUAGGGUGUGUGAUACUGGGACUAAGAAUGCCCCAUCCUGUGCGUGGAUGGCACCACCCAAAAGGCUGGUAGCCUGGAAGGAUAAAAGGGAUCUUUCUGCUGCUGGUAAUGCUGGUGCUGGUGGCUUGCUUUCUUCUACCUGCUCUGCCACGCCAUGGACCCUUCCUCAACUUCAGAGCCCCUCUGCCAUGUCAUCCUGUCUCAGAGCCUGCCGACUAUGGACUGAAACCUUCCCAAACUGUGAGCUAAAUAAAUCCUUGCACCUUUAACUUGUAGAUGUUGGGUAUUUUCUCAGCAAUGAGAAAAUUAACUUAAGCUAUAACUUGAAAACCUCCUGUCUCAGCCUUUCAGAAUGCUAGGAGUAUAGACAGACAUUGUCAUGCCUAGCUAAUAAGUUUUAAAUUUUUUUCAUAAUUCAUUAAAAUUGAAAAAAAUUUUGGAAAAACGUAUAAUAUCAGAAUUCUCUGACAACACAUGGUUUACAUCUUGUCUUCACCUGACAGUAAACAUCCUGAUUUAUGUAUAUUAAUCAUUGCUUUUUCUCUGCUUCACCUGUAGACAAUACUAAAUUAGGUGCAUUUAUGUAAUAAAGAAAAAUCCAGCUGGGCAUCAUGAAACAUGCCUGUAAUCCCAGCACUAGGAUAGCUGGGACAGGAAGAUGGCCAUGAAUUUAAGGCCAGUUUGGGCUACACAGUGAGUUCAAACCUGCCUGAACUGCACUGACAGACCUUGUCAUAAAAAUUUUCAAACUUCAAUGAAAACACAGAAACUCGCUUUCAUACAUAUAAAACCGUAUCUGAUUAUUUUCUAACAUGUGCAUAGUUUACCACUUUUGCUUUAGUAGCAUGUUUGCAGUACAUGCAGUUUCUAAUCAUCUUGGAGAUUGUGUACAUGCACGUAAUAUAGUUUUUUCCUUCUUAAUCCCCUUUUUCUUUCCUCGCCCCUCCUCUGAUUGCCUAUCCUGUUUGUCAUCCUUGCUGAAUUGCUAAUCUGAGCUCACCUUGUUGCAUCCUGCACAUGGCAUUUUUUUAUUCUACUCACUGUGGUCUUUGUCCUUUGAUUCUGUCAUCUGAAAGGGGAAGCAUGACAGCCUGAUGUGCUGAUUUUAAGCAUUACAUGCCUACAGAAAGGAUUAUAUGCAGUGCCUGAUUCAGGAGAAUCACUCAAUAGUUACAUAAAUAUUUUAGGAAAAUUGUUAUCUUUUACAUCUCACAUAACAUGAUGAAGAUUCAUUAUUCAUUUUUAGAGAAAUUAGUUUUGCAGAUCAUUCGAUUGUGCAUCUAACCUUACAGUCAUUGCAUUUACAGUGCUUUUAUUUGUUAUCUAGUGGCAUCAGGCAUCACUUGUCUACUUCUGCCAAACAUGAAUGAAGAAUGUCACUCCUGUUGGGGACACAGCUCAGUCGUACAGCGCCUGCCUGACAAGCGCAAGGCUGUGAGUUCAAUUCCCUGUAAAAUAGAGAGAGAGAGAGAGACAGAGACAGAGAGACAGAGACAGACCGAGACACAGAGAGAGAGACACAGAGACAAAGACAAAGACAGAGAAAUGUCACUUCUAAAGGUCUGGGUAGCCUUGAGCCUGGGAACCAGCGGAUCCUACCAUGAAGUUAUUGCCUGUAGGCCCAGAAGGAACCUGCCAGCCAUUCUGUGACCCUGCCCUUGCGAUCACUAAGUUCAUGCAGAUUCUGGAGAUCCCAGGGACACCUGACUCAGAGGAAGUCUGAAAGUUGCUACAUUGCAGGGCUGCCUGGGGCCCUAACGUCAUCAUGCCUCUGCUGUGAAUAGAGAAACACAAAUUAGCCAAGAGAGGCUUCCUCACAGUUGUGAUGGACAUUUCUAAAAUAAUUUGGAAGACUUGGGAGGCCCUUUGGGCCCUCUAGAAUAUCACCGUGGCGGAGAGUUCUCUGAGGCUUCCUCGUAGCCUUUCCAAAGAAACCACCUGCCUCUGCCUCUCCAAGUUUCCUCCCCACCCAUUCUCCUUCAGUUCCACUUUUCCUUACUGUUGGUUUCAGGUUAUUUCCUCACAGGAUCAUUUAGCCUACAUGAAGGACAAUGUGCAAGGUAUCAAACAUGUGUCCCAUUGUGAUCCAGCUUUGUGGCCAAGGAUUACUGUGUCUCAGAAUAUCUGAUGAGUACCAGGCAGGGCCGUGUACACCUGUAAUCCCAGUACUCAGGAGGCUGAGGCAGGAAGAUUGCCAUGAGAUCAAGACCAACCUGCACUACAUGGUGAGAACUCUUCUCAAGAAAACCCCACUUUUUUAUGUGGUCCUCCCCAUUUUUGCCCUAAAAACUUUCCUUGGCUUCAACCUCCUCAGCUGCACUCAUAAUGUGUCAUGGCAUGCACAUUCCUGUUGCAGUACUAUUCUAUUCCCCAAUAAAUACCAUUAUUCCUUUUUA